CUCCUAGCGUCGCCGCCCCUGCAUCCUCCUGGCCCGCAGCUGAUCUCGCCUCUUUCCGGCGAGAGUCCGACCCGCAACUGUCCGUCGCGCUGCCUUUUCCAUGUCGGCCGCCUCCUUCUCCCCCCUCCACUACGCGCCACCGCCGCCGCCCAUGCGCGGCCUCGAUCCGGUGCCGCCGCCCACCACUACCAAGACCCCGGCCCAUCGCCGCCCACCAGCACGAUGCCCCUCUGCGCACGAAUCCGACCUUCCCUCUCCUCCGGCGCAACCUUCCAUCCCCUCCGGUGCGGCCUGCCCUCUCAUCCGGUGAGCCCUCCUCCAGCGCGCCUGCACUCUGCUCCGUCGGCACAGAGACCGAGCACCUCCUCCUCCAGCGAGCUCCUCCAUCCCCAACUUGUCCUUGAAUGCGGACGCUACACCGCACAGAUUCCUACCCACCGUUCCUCCUCUCUGCUUCUUCACUCUUCACUUCUCUAGAUUUUGGUUGAAUUUCAGCCUGCAUCCCCGACGUAGGGAUGCUCUGGCUCCUCCCCCGCUUGCUGCCAGGUUUGUCUCUCCUUCCUCCCCUACUUGCCGUCUUGUGCAGUGGUGGAUGUGGCUACUUGAUGGAGUGAAGCCGGCCUCCGAGCACUGGUAGUUGCACUGCAACCUGCAAAAAAAAGGAACAACCGCAAGUUCAGAAUCAGAAAAAUGAGAAGUUCAAGAAGAAUAAAGGCACUGCCUUCACUCACAUGCUUGCAAACUACUAGGUUGUAGCUUGUAUGUUGUUUGCAACUAUCUUUAAUUUCUUUAGUAGCUCGUACACAUUUUGCCAAAAUCUAGUACUUUCAGAAUGGUAAAGUUGAUAGUUGGCCUAUAGGGACAACCAUGUUGAUGGCGAUUGAAAAAGGAUUCUGAAAUAAUAUUAUUGAGACUGAAGAUCAAGUUUGAUAAUGCACGACGUUAGAGGA